UGAUUGUACAUAACUGACGAUCUAUUAACAGGGACCAACUUGUACUACUUCACACUACAGGAUACUAAAGUGGAAUUUUCCUUUUCCAUUUUCCAACUCAAUUUUUGCUCGUCAGUCGGUGGCUGAGUGGUGUGGUUGCCCAUCGACAAACAGUGAGAGAGGAGGAACACGAACAAACACAGCACACAGCUCGUGGCUUCUGCAGUUUCAAAUCCUUCACUUUCUCCCCGCUUCUUCUUUCCUUUAACUGAUGCUAUAGCCUAUAGCCAUCUCUCUCUGUUGCUCUCAAUGGAAGUUGCCACCGUGUCUUCACAUUUCUUCCUUCACACUAGAAUGGUGUCAUCUCCUCAUCCACGGAGUAGAAAUUCAAAACGAACCCUAAAUUGCUCAGGUGGGGUUUCUGUCAGAUCUCUAACCAGCAAUCUCGUUGUUCCCUUCGUCGGCGGGAGCGUUUCUGGAGAUUUCUGUGGUCAGAAAAUCCGUCCUGCAUCGCUCAAUCCAUCCUUAACAUUCUCCUCUGAUUCUCGCAGAAAAAGAGGGGUGGUCACCAUGGUUAUUCCUUUCUUGAGAGGAAGUGCAUGGGAGCAGCCUCCUCCUGAUUUAGCAUCUUAUCUGUAUAAGAAUCGAAUUGUAUACUUGGGCAUGUCUCUUGUUCCUUCUGUCACAGAAUUGAUCCUAGCAGAAUUUUUAUACCUUCAGUAUGAGGAUGAUCAGAAGCCAAUUUACCUAUACAUGAACUCCACUGGGACAACCAAGGGAGGGGAGAAGUUAGGUUAUGAGACAGAGGCUUUUGCAAUUUAUGAUGUCAUGAGGUAUGUCAAACCACCCAUCUUUACACUUUGUGUUGGUAAUGCUUGGGGAGAGGCAGCUUUGCUUUUGGCUGCUGGAGCUAAAGGAAACCGCUCUGCUUUGCCCUCAUCUACAAUCAUGAUAAAGCAGCCAAUUGCAAGAUUUCAAGGUCAAGCAACAGAUAUCGACCUUGCAAGAAAAGAAGUAAAGAAUGUGAAGAAAGAAUUGGUUAAUCUCUAUGCAAGACAUAUAGGGAAAUCCCCAGAAAAAAUUGAGGAGGAUAUCAGGCGUCCAAAAUAUUUCAGCCCUAGUGAAGCGGUUGAGUAUGGCAUCAUUGAUAAGGUACUGUACAAUGAAAGAGCAGGUGAAGAUCAUGGGGUUGUUUCCGACCUGAAAAAAGCACAACUUAUAUAGGAAAAGUGGUUAUUUAUGUAAAAGCACAACUUAUUGCAUAAAAAUUAAGUAUUGAGGUCGCAUUACUGUAAACUAUCUGGGUUAUGUACUUGGGACCACAUGAUCUCAACAACCAGUUUCAAAUUAUUAUACUCACAAAUGAUUUAUGUAGUGGUCUUCAUUAUCUGCCAUGGUUUUUUUUUUGUUUGUUUCUGGGCCUUUAAUGAACUUUCUAUUCUUAGGUCAGUCAUUUUGUUCCCCAAUUUCUUCACCUGUAAUGACAUCAAAUGCUGUCCUCAACUAACCCAUUUGAUUAUGGCGAUGGCCUGUUGGUUCUGGAAAAGAAAAGGACAUCAUCAUCUUCAUGAUGAUUUUUCUUAUCCAAUUAGUUAUUGAAAACAAUGCUGCUGCUUUCGUGAAA